rnacentral:rRNA from 1 species
UAAGCAUAUCAAUAAGCGGAGGAAAAGAAACCAACAGGGAUUGCCCUAGUAACGGCGAGUGAAGCGGCAACAGCUCAAAUUGAAAUCUGGCCCUUGUGGUCCGAGUUGUAAUUUGUAGAGGAUGCUUUGGGUUAGGUGCCUUCCGAGUUCCCUGGAACGGGACGCCAUAGAGGGUGAGAGCCCCGUCUGGUUGGAUACCGAGCCUCUGUAAAGCUCCUUCGACGAGUCGAGUAGUUUGGGAAUGCUGCUCUAAAUGGGAGGUAUAUGUCUUCUAAAGCUAAAUACCGGCCAGAGACCGAUAGCGCACAAGUAGAGUGAUCGAAAGAUGAAAAGCACUUUGAAAAGAGGGUUAAAAAGUACGUGAAAUUGUUGAAAGGGAAGCGCUUGUGACCAGACUUGGGCCCGGUCAAUCAUCCAGGGUUCUCCCUGGUGCACUUGGCCGGCCCAGGCCAGCAUCAGUUUGUCGCGGGGGAUAAAGGCGUCGGGAAUGUGGCUCCCCCGGGAGUGUUAUAGCCCUUCGUGUAAUACCCUGCUUCGGACUGAGGUUCGCGCAUCUGCAAGGAUGCUGGCGUAAUGGUCAUCAGCGACCCGUCUUGAAACACGGACCAAGGAGUCGUCUUCGUAUGCGAGUGUUCGGGUGUCAAACCCCUACGCGUAAUGAAAGUGAACGCAGGUGAGAGCUUCGGCGCAUCAUCGACCGAUCCUGAUGUUCUCGGAUGGAUUUGAGUAAGAGCAUACGGGGCCGGACCCGAAAGAAGGUGAACUAUGCCUGUAUAGGGUGAAGCCAGAGGAAACUCUGGUGGAGGCUCGCAGCGGUUCUGACGUGCAAAUCGAUCGUCAAAUAUGGGCAUGGGGCGAAAGACUAA